rnacentral:rRNA from 1 species
GACGUAGGGCGCGAGCGUUGUCCGGAUUUAUUGGGCGUAAAGAGCUCGUAGGCGGGAUGGCAAGUCGGUCGUGAAAUCCCUCGGCUCAACUGAGGAUCGUCGAUCGAUACUGCCGUUCUUGAGGAUUGCAGAGGAGACUGGAAUUCCCGGUGUAGCGGUGAAAUGUGUAGAGAUCGGGAGGAACACCGGUGGCGAAGGCGGGUCUCUGGGCAAUUCCUGACGCUGAGGCGCGAAAGCGUGGGGAGCAAACGGG